UUUUCCUCAUGAAGAUGUUUUCUAUUCCCUAACAUUUUGGAUGCUGGAAAUUCAUCCUCUUCCUCAUUUUGUGGCUCACAACUUUUUGAGGUGUUGCCAGACAACUAAAGAAUUUAAUAAGCCCACUGCAUGCCUUAAAAAGGCUAGGAAAAAGCCAUGAGAUGUCUGCCAGAUGCCUAAGGAAUAAAACAAGAAGGCUACAAUUCAUUUCAUGAAAGCACAACAUACCAUGCUCUGAACUAAUUUGGUGGCAAAACGUGACUGGAAGGGGUAUGAGUUUUAUACAGGAGCCGGA